AUUCCUGCCCCAGGGUUUAGCUUGUGGGGUCCGGCUCCCGUAAGGGGCGUAGACGAUUGGGUCUCGUGCGACGGAGCUUCCUGAACCGUGUCAGGUCUUGACGGAAGCAGCACUAAGGGAAAUACUCCGGGUGCCGCGAGGUCGCCUGGUCCGAGCUACCUGCGGGUGUAUCGCCCGGAAGCUAAUAUUCAAAGGCAGGUGCACGG
rnacentral:SRP_RNA from 1 species